rnacentral:misc_RNA from 1 species
AAGUCGUAACAAGGUUUCCGUAGGUGAACCUGCGGAAGGAUCAUUAUUGAAAUGUUGAGAAAGGUAGUCAGCUGGCCUUUCGGGGCAUGUGCACACCUUGAUCACAUAUCCACAUCUUACACCUGUGCACACCCUGUAGCUUUGGGAUGAUUAUGGAGUUUGCUUCAAAAGCCCUAGCUAUGAUUUUUUUCACACACAUAUAUUUAUGAUAGUAAUUUGUAAUGAAUGAAUGGAAUAUAUACAACUUUCAGCAACGGAUCUCUUGGCUCUC